AAAGGGAUUUAGUUAAAAGGCUGAAUGGAUUAUUUUACUUUCAUCUCACCAAGGGAGAUGAGGAAACUGAGGCCUGUAGAGACUGAACAACUUGCACGAGAUCAAGUCAAAGUGGAACCAGGGCCAUUAUGAGAAGACAUCCCACUGAAAGACCUGAGAAGCUGACUUUGAUUCCUGGUAGGAAUAGACAACCUAACUCUCAGCAACAGCUAAGAUGAGUCUCUCUCCCCAUCUCUUUCAAAACA